rnacentral:tRNA from 2 species
GGAGAGAUGGCCGAGUGGUCGAAGGCGCGCGCCUGCUAAGUGCGUGACCCGUUCCGGGUCCGAGGGUUCAAAUCCCUCUCUCUCCG